GACGCCAUAGCUCAGUUGGUUAGAGCGUUCGACUGUUAAUCGAGAGGUCACCGGUUCGACCCCGGUUGGUGUCG
rfam:Paramecium bursaria Chlorella virus 1 (PBCV-1), complete genome.